GCAUUUGUAGCUCAGUCUCAGAGCGUCGGUCUUGUAAGCCGAGUGUCGGAGGUUAAAGCCCUCCCUAAUGUU
rnacentral:tRNA from 1 species